rnacentral:misc_RNA from 1 species
UUUUAAAAUUACGUGCAUUUAUUUGAAAAUAUUUGAAAAAUGAGAGAAAAGGGACGCUUGUCUUGCGUAAGAUGCUCAGCAUCUUUCCCAAACGUUAGCAUUUUGAAAUGUGACAACACAAUUCUUGAUGUAGGCAUUACUCUGUUCUAAAAGUAGAACAUACCAUAUUUGUGACGAACGUCACGGACGAAAUAUGCCUCAAACAGCUGUGACGUUCCAUCCUCAUCCGAACAUCCCACGAGUAGGCUAUACUCACCUCUUUCGCACAAGUGGAAUUAGACCUGUUAUAGUCUCGUAUAAAAACAAUCAGGUGAUCUUUACAGGUAUUACGCUUACAAUGUGCAAGACUUGCCACAAACGUUUCCAUCCGACAUGUACCAGCCAUACGUCGGCGACCAGACCAAGUGACAGGAUCUGUGACAGAUGUUUGCUUUGCGAAGCGACUGUUGUAUGUCCGCAAUGCUCAGGUCAGUUUCAGUGCGCACAAUUCUGUGAAUUAUGCAGCAGACAAGCACACGAGGGUCUUCGUGUUUCGCACCUGGAUCACGUGAAAUCCAUGCCAAGUUAGUUUUCGUUGGACGCUUGCAAUCCGCUAAAAUACUUAAAUUUUAAUUUCCAUGAACAUUUAGGCUGGACCUAUCUGUUAUCUUUUGAAAUACUGUCAUGAUAAUAUACAGUUGAGGUUAUUUUCACAAUGUGUUUGGUUUAACUAUUAUUGGUGUUCAAAUCUUUUAAAAAAUACACGCGCACAUAUAUUCUAUUAAAGCCG